GCCCCGCAAAGUAAAAACUAAAAGGAAUUAACGGGGGCCCGAACAAGCGGCGGAGCACGUGGUAAAAUUAGAUGCAACGGGAGAACCUUACCAGCCCUGAACAUCCCGGGAACUUGGUAGAGAUACCUUGUUGCCUUAGGGAACCCUGACAAAAGGUGAUGCACGGCUGUCGUCAGCUCGUCUCGUGAGAUGUUGGGUUAAGUCCAGUAACGAGCGCAACCCUUACCCUUAGUUGCCAGCACAUAAUGGUGGGAACUCUAAGGGGACUGCCGGUGACAAACCGGAGGAAGGUGGGGAAGACGUCAAGUCAUCAUGGCCCUUAUGGGCUGGGCUACACACGUGCUACAAUGGCCGGUACAGAGGGAUGCCAACCCGCAAGGGGGAGCUAAUCUCAGAAAACCGGUCGUAGUCCGGAUCGCAGUCUGCAACUCGACUGCGUGAAGUCGGAAUCGCUAGUAAUCGCGAAUCAGAAUGUCGAGGUGAAAACGUUCCCGGGCCUUGCACGCGCUGCCC
rnacentral:rRNA from 1 species